UUCAGAGUAAAAACAAGUUUUGUUUAAAAAAAACAAAAAAACAAAAACAAAGGAAGAAGAAGACGAAAAGUCUAGGUUUUUGAACAACAAUGGUGAAAGCUACUCGAAGUGGGUUGAUCGGCCGGAAUGGUGGUGCUUCAACUACUCGAGAUGAUGGUGCUCUCAAUCGCCCACAGCUGAUUGAUGAAUCGCGUGACUCAGAAGCUACUCCUUCUCCUGUUUAGACUCUUGUGCCUUACGAGUUGGACUCAAGUGCUUCUUCUGUCUCGGAUCCGG
rnacentral:lncRNA from 1 species